UGGGGAAUAUUGGACAAUGGGCGCAAGCCUGAUCCAGCCAUGCCGCGUGAGUGAUGAAGGCCCUAGGGUUGUAAAGCUCUUUCACCGGUGAAGAUAAUGACGGUAACCGGAGAAGAAGCCCCGGCUAACUUCGUGCCAGCAGCCGCGGUAAUACGAAGGGGGCUAGCGUUGUUCGGAUUUACUGGGCGUAAAGCGCACGUAGGCGGACUUUUAAGUCAGGGGUGAAAUCCCGGGGCUCAACCCCGGAACUGCCUUUGAUACUGGAAGUCUUGAGUAUGGUAGAGGUGAGUGGAAUUCCGAGUGUAGAGGUGAAAGUCGUAGAUAUUCGGAGGAACACCAGUGUCGAAGGCGGCUCACUGGACCAUUACUGACGCUGAGGUGCGAAAGCGUGGGGAGCAAACAGG
rnacentral:rRNA from 1 species